rnacentral:rRNA from 1 species
AUACGGAGACCUCAAGCGUUAUCCGGAUUUAUUGGGCGUAAAGGGUGUGUAGGCGGCUCAAAUAGUCAGAUGUUAAAUCAUCCCGCUCAACGGGAUGGCCGCAUUUGAAACGUUUGAGCUAGAGACAGGUAGAGGCAAAUGGAACUCAUGGUGUAGCAGUGAAAUGCGUUGAUAUCAUGGGGAACACCAAAGGCGAAGGCAGUUUGCUGGGCCUUGUCUGACGCUGAAACACGAAAGCGUGGGUAGCGAACGGGAUUAGAAACCCGAGUAGUCC